rnacentral:rRNA from 1 species
CAGCCGCCGCGGUAAUCCCAGCGGUCCAAGUCGCAGCCACAUUUGUUGGGUCUAAAACAUCCGUAGCUUGCUCUACAAGUUCAUUGUGAAAUCGGGACUCUCNNNGUUCCGGCGGGCAAUGAAUACUGUUGAGCUAGAGAUCGGGAGAUGCAGUGANNNNNAACAGGGAAGCGGUAAAAUGCGUUGAUCCUUUCCAGACUAACACCAGCGAAGGCACGCUGCAAGAACGAAUCUGACAGUGAGGGAUGAAGGCNNNNNNCGCAAAGUGGAUUAGAUACCCAUGUAGUCCUAGCA